UACGGAGGGUGCAAGCGUUGUUCGGAAUUAUUGGGCGUAAAGCGCGUGUAGGCGGUCUGUUAAGUCUGAUGUGAAAGCCCCGGGCUCAACCCAGGAAGUGCAUUGGAUACUGGGAAACUUGAAUACGGGAGAGGGUAGUGGAAUUCCUAGUGUAGGAGUGAAAUCCGUAGAUAUCAGGAGGAACACCGGUGGCGAAAGCGCACAUCUGGCCCGAUACUGACGCUGAGACGCGAAAGCGUGGGGAGCAAACAGG
rnacentral:rRNA from 1 species